AGCUGCCAGCGCAGAGGCUGACACGGGCCUCGAACUCACAAAUCGCGAGAUCAUGACCUGAGCGAAGUCGGAUGCUUAACCAACUGAACCACCCAAGCACCCCGAGUGAGGAAACAUAUUAAACAAAAGUUCACAUAUAUAUGCAGUUACAAUUUAUGAUAUAACUGAACAGAGCAGGAUAAAUACAUAAUAGGGAGGCCCGAUUUAAACUGGUGUGUUAGGGAAGUCUCCAAAUUCUAUCAGCUAAUACAUGAAGGACGAGGAAGACUUCACCAGGUGAAGAGCGUAGGGAAGAGGAUUUCAGAUAGAGGAAACAGGUUCUGAUGCUGAAAGUGUUUGGCAGGUUGGAAGAAUAGAACACCAGUGGGUUCUGAGUCUAGUUAGCAAGGGGAAAUGGUCACAAGAGAGAGGCUAAGGCCAUAUGGGACAAUACCGUGGUGUCCACGAUAAUGAUGAUGACGACAACGACGACGAUGAUGAUAGCAGUUAACGUCCAUUCUGUACCAGAUAAUGGAAAACUCAGAGAUCAGACCUAGACCAGCUGUCUUGCUGGCUCUACACUUUGGUUAUAAUUCUGGCAAGAGGCUCCAAGAGACGCCCCUAACUGCCCCUUCCUCAAUCCUCACACCAUUCACACUGAGAGCUUCCUCUGCUCCCCAGACAGAGACUUCAGAGCCAGACCCAGGCCUUCCCUCUGGCAAUUAGAGGAAAAGCUGUUCCAAGACUUCUACCUACAACUGGUGAGUGACUCUGGCCACUCAGCCAUGAUCUCACGGCCUGAUUCAGCUACCUUCCCCACCUGAAUUUUGGUUACUGCCAGAAAUGGGGACCCAUGGGGGUAACAAUGUAAGUAAGCACACUUUGCAAUUCACACCAUAUAUUAGCUAUGAAAUUGUGAUUCUUGAAAAAGUUUUUAUUUGGGGAGAUUCACCUCCAUUUCACAUUUUGUGCAUAAAGUAAAACUAUUGAUUUUGAAUAAGGCCUGACAUCUUAUUCCUAUAUUUCAAAUUCAUAUAAAAUAUAACCUUACUGUGCU